rnacentral:rRNA from 1 species
UGGGAGCUUGCUCCCGUUAGUUAGCGGCGGACGGGUGAGUAACACGUGGGCAACCUACCUGUAAGACUGGGAUAACUUCGGGAAACCGGAGCUAAUACCGGAUGACAUAAAGGAACUCCUGUUCCUUUAUUGAAAGAUGGCCUCGGCUAUCACUUACAGAUGGGCCCGCGGCGCAUUAGCUAGUUGGUGAGGUAACCGCUCACCAAGGCGACGAUGCCUACCGAACUGAGAGGGUGAUCGGCCACACUGGGACUGAGACACGGCCCAGACUCCUACGGGAGGCAGCAGUAGGGAAUCUUCCGCAAUGGACGAAAGUCUGACGGAACAACGCCGCGUGAGCGAUGAAGGCCUUCGGGUCGUAAAGCUCUGUUGUUAGGGAAGAACAAGUGCUAGUUGAAUAAGCUGGCACCUUGACGGUACCUAACCAGAAAGCCACGGCUAACUACCUGCCAGCAGCCGCGGUAAUACGUAGGUGGCAAGCGUUGUCCGGAAUUAUUGGGCGUAAAGCGCGCGCAGGCGGUUUCUUAAGUCUGAUGUUAAAGCCCCCGGCUCAACCGGGGAGGGUCAUUGGAAACUGGGAAACUUGAGUGCAGAAGAGGAAAGUGGAAUUCCCAGUGUAGCGGUUAAAUGCCUAAAGAUUUGGAGGAACACCGGUGG